rnacentral:rRNA from 1 species
AUUGAACGCUGGCGGCAGGCUUAACACAUGCAAGUCGAGCGGAGACUUCGGUCUUAGCGGCGAACGGGUGAGUAAUACCUAGGAAUCUGCCUAUUAGUGGGGGAUAACGAAUCGAAAGGUUCGCUAAUACCGCAUACGUCCUACGGGAGAAAGGGGGGGAGUCUUCGGACCUCUCGCUAAUAGAUGAGCCUAGGCCGGAUUAGCUAGUUGGUAGGGUAAAGGCCUACCAAGGCGACGAUCUGUAGCUGGUCUGAGAGGAUGGCCAGCCACACUGGAACUGAGACACGGUCCAGACUCCUACGGGAGGCAGCAGUGGGGGAAUAUUGGACAAUGGGGGCAACCCUGAUCCAGCCAUGCCGCGUGUGUGAAGAAGGCCU